AUACAAUAGGAGUAUAUUAACUAUUUUAUAGUGCUUCCUGCUUUGUGAUUUCCAGUGCGUUCAUCGUUAAAUUACACGGGAGAUAAAUUUAAUUGAGUGAGCCGGUCGUCGAUUUCCACGAAAUGAGAAAUUGGACAUUGACAUACCCAGAACCAGGAUGCCAUGCCGCGGAUGAGGUGGCGCGCCGCAUCGCCAACUCACGUCACCACCAGCGAAGACAGACAAGUUGGAUGGCGUGAAACUGGACACGUGAAGCGUGGCGUGACUCACGAGGGCUGCGAGCCGGCCUGUAAGGGCAAGCCCAUAAUACAUACAGCACGCUAUAGUACUACAAUACAACUUAUAGUUAACUAUGUACUUAGUUUCAUUGUGAUCACGUAUAGAAUAACUCAGGACGUCCUCGAUCGCGCGGUA